UACGGAGGGUGCAAGCGUUGCUCGGAAUUAUUGGGCGUAAAGGGUAGGUAGGUGGUCUCGUUUGUCUAGGGUGAAAUCCUUGAGCUUAACUCAAGAAGUGCCUCAGAAACGGCGAGACUAGAGUUCUGGAGAGGGGGGUAGAAUUCCACGUGUAGCAGUGAAAUGCGUAGAGAUGUGGAGGAACACCGAUGGCGAAGGCAGCCCCCUGGGUCAAGAUUGACGCUCAUGCACGAAAGCGUGGGGAGCAAACAGG
rnacentral:rRNA from 1 species